ensembl:lncRNA
UGAAAAGUUUUAAAAGGUCAACUGAGACUGCUAAAACCACAGCUAUCAGCAACUAGCUGAAAAAUAAAUUAAAGUUCUCCUAAAAACAUGUUUUUAACCCUGUUUCUAAGGGGAGGUUCCUGUGGUUUUACUCACUGUAACUAUUUCCCUUUUUGCCAUCACACAUCCUGGACAUUGCAACAGAUUAGCUUAUAAUAUUGUAGUUUCAAGUUGAACUCUGCUAUGACUGGUUUUACAUUCUGAGUAUUUUCUUCAGACAACUAGGAGGAGGAUUGGUUUUCUGUGGUGAAUUUACUCAAAGCUGACAAAAACAGAAAUAAAUCAUUGGUAGCAACAGUGACAAUAUAAUACAGCAAAGUUGUCAACAGAUACUUCUCUGAUGUUCUUGCUGAAAGACCUGUUUAUGCCUUCAGCACCAGAAGGAUGUAGGUCUAUCUAGCUUUGGUUCAAUUAGACAAAUAGAACAUACCACAAGAGUGUUUCAGAAAUAAAUAAAAAAUAAAAACAAACAUAAUUUCUUCUUUUUUUUUUCUUCUUUUUUUUUUUUUUUUUUCAGAAAAGAAAUCAUGCAUUCCAACAUAUAUGAACAUUAGCUGCCAAGAACCAUAAUGUGGCAAAGAAAGCAAUGUAGUUAUCACCCUAACAUUUACCUUUGGAAUUCACAGAAGCCCAUUAGAAUCACAGAAUGGACGAGGUUGGAAGAAACCCCUGAAGACCCUCUAGUCCAGCUCAGCAGGAUCACCUAGAGCACACUGCUCAGGAUAGCAUCCAGAUGCACAAGAUGGAAGAGGGCUGUCACUAGCACAGACUGAGAGAACAUCAAAAGCUGCUUUAUAUCUAGUGACUGUUCCUAAAAACUUAAGAUGUUCUUCAUCUUCAGGUUGCCCAGGAAUUUGAGAUUUUCCAUGCAGAGAAAUAUGGAACCUGCUAACAGUUUCUUGAUCUUCUGGAUGGCGAAAAUCACAGGUGUUACUAAUGAAGCAACUAACUUACAGUUUUAUAUCCCUGCGGAGAAGACAGUAACAGUCAGGGAAAGAGAUGGGUUAGGAAAAGGCAGGUCCUGCUUGACGAACCUGAUCUCCUUCUACGACAAAGUGACGCGCUAGGUGGAUGAGGGAAAGGCUGUGGAUGUGGUCUACCUUGACUUCAGCAAGACUUUUGAAACCGUCUCCCACAGCAUUCUCCUCAAGAAACUGGCUGCCCUAGGCUUGGACUGGAGCACACUUCGUUGGGUUGGAAACUGGCUGGAUGGCCGGGCCCAAAGAGUCGUGGUGAAUGGAGUCAAGUCCAGUUGGAGGCCAAUCACUAGUGGCGUUCCCCAGGGCUUGGUGCUGGGGCUGGUCCUCUUUAAUAUCUUCAUCAAUGAUCUGGACGAGGGCAUUGAGUGCACCCUCAGUAAGUUUGCAGAUGACACCAAGCUAGGUGCGUGUCGAUCUGCUCGAGGGUAGGAAGGCUCUGCAGGAGGAUCUGGACAGGCUGCACCGAUGGGCUGAGGUCAACUGCAUGAAGUUCAACAAGGCCAAGUGCCGGGUCCUGCACCUGGGUCACAAUAACCCCAAGCAGAGCUACAGGCUGGGAGAUGAGUGGUUGGAGAGCUGCCAGGCAGAGAAGGACCUGGGAGUGAUGGUUGAUAGUCGGCUGAAUAUUGAGCCAGCAGUGUGCUCAGGUGGCCAAGAAGGCCAUCGGCAUCCUGGCUUGUAUCAGAAACAGUGUGACCAGCAGGGCUAGGGAGGUGAUCGUCCCCCUGUACUCGUCUCUGGUGAGGCCACACCUCGAGUACUGUGUUCAGUUUUGGGCCCCUCGCUACAAGAAGGACAUGGAGGUGCUUGAGCG